UGGGGAAUAUUGCACAAUGGAGGAAACUCUGACGCAGUGACGCCGCGUAUAGGAAGAAGGUUUUCGGAUUGUAAACUAUUGUCGUUAGGGAAGAAAAAAGACAGUACCUAAGGAGGAAGCUCCGGCUAACUACGUGCCAGCAGCCGCGGUAAUACGUAGGGAGCAAGCGUUAUCCGGAUUUAUUGGGUGUAAAGGGUGCGUAGACGGGCGAUCAAGUUAGUUGUGAAAUCCCUCGGCUCAACUGAGGAACUGCAACUAAAACUGGUUGUCUUGAGUGCAGGAGAGGUAAGUGGAAUUCCUAGUGUAGCGGUGAAAUGCGUAGAUAUUAGGAGGAACACCAGUGGCGAAGGCGACUUACUGGACUGUAACUGACGUUGAGGCACGAAAGUGUGGGGAGCAAACAGGAUUAGAUACC
rnacentral:rRNA from 1 species